UACGGGGGGGGCAAGCGUUGUUCGGAAUUACUGGGCGUAAAGGGUUCGUAGGUGGCUUGUUAAGUCAGACGUGAAAUCCCUCAGCUUAACUGGGGAACUGCGUCUGAGACUGGUGAGCUUGAGUGCAGGAGAGGAACGCGGAAUUCCAGGUGUAGCGGUGAAAUGCGUAGAUAUCGGGAGGAACACCUGAGGCGAAGGCGGGUUACUGGGCUGAUACUGACGCUGAGGCGCGAAAGCCAGGGGAGCAAACGGG
rnacentral:rRNA from 1 species